rnacentral:rRNA from 1 species
AAUCAACGCUGGCGGCGUGCCUCAGACAUGCAAGUCGAACGCGAAAGUUUCCUUCGGGAAGCAAGUAGAGUGGCGUCCGGGUGAGUAACACGUAGGUAAUCUACCUUUGGGUGGGGAAUAACAACCGGAAACGGUUGCUAAUACCGCAUAAUGCAGCGGCAUCACAUGAUGACAGUUGUUAACGCGGGGAGUCGCAAGACCUCGCGCCUAAAGAGGAGCCUGCGGCGGAUUAGCUAGUUGGUAGGGUAACGGCCUACCAAGGCAACGAUCCGUAGCCGGCCUGAGAGGGCGGUCGGCCACACUGACACUGAAAUACGGGUCAGACUCCUACGGGAGGCAGCAGUGGGGGAAUCUUG